rnacentral:rRNA from 1 species
GAUGAACGCUGGCGGCGUGCCUAAUACAUGCAAGUCGAGCGAACAGACGAGGAGCUUGCUCCUCUGACGUUAGCGGCGGACGGGUGAGUAACACGUGGAUAACCUACCUAUAAGACUGGGAUAACUUCGGGAAACCGGAUCUAAUACCGGAUAAUAUAUUGAACCGCAUGGUUCAAUAGUGAAAGACGGUUUUGCUGUCACUUAUAGAUGGAUCCGCGCCGCAUUAGCUAGUUGGUAAGGUAACGGCUUACCAAGGCAACGAUGCGUAGCCGACCUGAGAGGGUGAUCGGCCACACUGGAACUGAGACACGGUCCAGACUCCUACGGGAGGCAGCAGUAGGGAAUCUGCCGCAAUGGGCGAAAGCCUGACGGAGCAACGCCGCGUGAGUGAUGAAGGUCUUCGGAUCGUAAAACUCUGUUAUUAGGGAAGAACAAAUGUGUAAGUAACUAUGCACGUCUUGACGGUACCUAAUCAGAAAGCCACGGCUAACUACGUG